AAAAAGGCAGGGCCGGGCCGGGGCGGGGUCUCGGGCAGGGGCAGGGCGCAUUCUGAGCUCCCGCCCCCGCCGCGUGCGUUUCCGACCCUGCUGGUUUUUCUCCUGGGCUGAAAGCGCGUCAGGUUCUGUUUGAGUGCGUUCGGUGCACCUUGGGGGCGCGCUGCUUCCAACUUCCUUUUAGGAAUUGGAAUCUGCCCAGCUGAGCCCCAGACGCUGGAGGGGUCCCGGGGGUCAGUCAGCCCUGCGCCAGCCUCCGGUUCCUCUUCUGGCCAUACAAGGAAGUCCAGUGCGGGGAUGACUAAGCAGCUGACCUGGGGGGAGAGCAGCCCUGGAGCGGAGGCAGGACUGGCCUCUCCUGCCAGCCAUCAGCCCCUGUGGGUUGGUCCUGCGGUGAAAAGUCCCAGGCCUCCCACCAGGGAGCACCUGACCUCUCUGCUCCCUGAGAGGAGUGAGAAUGAUAAAAGUUCCCAGAUCCCAGGGACUUUUAGGCUGCUCCCACCACAGAGCUGGCCAGCGUCCUUUGAGGCAGAGAAAUGCUAGGGGGUCUGGGUCCUGGGAAGCUCUGGGAUGAACAUGACUCCUGAGCACAGACGCCGGCCUGACAGAGGUUUGUGCGUGUCCGGCUUCGUCCUCGGAACUUGACACUCACACCUGACUCACCCACUUUAUGUGUCUUUUUUUUUUUUGGCCUGACUUUUAAAAAACCAAUCUGAGAAUAAAGUUUAAAAAGAGA